rnacentral:misc_RNA from 1 species
AUCGAUCGUAGCGGUACCGUGGCUGAAUUCCGAGCACGACAGAUAGACGACGAGUCGGCACGGAAAUAGAAUGAUGAUGUCUCGUGGAAGAUUCGCAGUUGCCGGCUCCCCGGUGUCACCGUUCGUAUAUCGGUUCGGAGGAUCGAUCCUCGACGAGCGUGCACGAGGAUGAGAACGGUGCGUAAUACAAAUUGCAACGCGCGAAAACAGCGCUCACGGUCACGACGAGGAUAGUGAAAGGAGAGAAGCGGGUGGCAUCGUAUUUGAUAAAUGAUGCGGACUCUAUUUCUGCCCGGGGGUAUUAAGAGGGUCGCCGCCUCGUUCGAUACUCGUCGUUCGUUUCGCGGUGCCUCGCUUCGUGCCAUUCGUCGUGUAAUUAAACUGGUAUAUAUACUG